GGGGGGGGGGGGGGGGGGGGGGGGUGGGGGCAGGUCGGGCGAGCGGACGGGAAGCGGGCUUCUGGGAUGGGGGCGGCGGGCGGGUGAGUGGGACGUGGACAAGCUACCUAUGAGACUGGGAUAACUUCGGGAAACCGGAGAUACUACCGGAUAAUCUUUUGAAGCGCAUGAUUCAAACGUGAAAGACGGUCUUGCUGUCACUUAUAGAUCGUUCCGCGCUGCAUUAGCUAGUUGGUAAUGUAACGGCUUACCACGCCAACGAUGCAUAGCCGACCUGAGAGGGUGAUCGGCCACACUGGAACAGAGACACGGUCCAGGCUCCUACGGGUGGGAGCAGUAGGGAAUCUUCCGCAAUGGGCGAAAGCCUGACGGAGCAACGCCGCGUGAGUCAUGACGGUCUUCGGAUCGUAAAACUCUGUUAUUGGGGAAGAACAUAUGUGUAAGUAACGGUGCACAUCUUGACGGUACCUAAUCAGAAAGCCACAGCUAACUACGUG
rnacentral:rRNA from 1 species